AUUGAACGCUGGCGGCAUGCUUUACACAUGCAAGUCGAACGGUAACAGGCCGCAAGGUGCUGACGAGUGGCGAACGGGUGAGUAAUGCAUCGGAACGUGCCCAGGCGUGGGGGAUAACUGCUCGAAAGAGCAGCUAAUACCGCAUACGAUCUAUGGAUGAAAGCGGGGGACCGUAAGGCCUCGCGCGAUUGGAGCGGCCGAUGUCAGAUUAGGUAGUUGGUGGGGUAAAGGCUCACCAAGCCAACGAUCGGUAGCUGGUCCGAGAGGACGACCAGCCACACUGGGACUGAGACACGGCCCAGACUCCUACGGGAGGCAGCAGUGGGGAAUUUUGGACAAUGGGGGCAACCCUGAUCCAGCAAUGCCGCGUGCAGGAAGAAGGCCUUCGGGUUGUAAACUGCUUUUGUACGGAACGAAACGGUCUGGGUUAAUACCCUGGGCUAAUGACGGUACCGUAAGAAUAAGCACCGGCUAACUACGUGCCAGCAGCCGCCGUAAUAC
rnacentral:rRNA from 1 species